rnacentral:rRNA from 1 species
GACGAACGCUGGCGGCGUGCUUAACACAUGCAAGUCGAACGAUGAAGCUGGAGCUUGCUCCGGUGGAUUAGUGGCGAACGGGUGAGUAACACGUGAGUAAUCUGCCCUUGACUCUGGGAUAACUGCGGGAAACUGUAGCUAAUACCGGAUACGACACCUUCGGGCAUCCGAUGGGUGUGGAAAGAAUUUAGGUCAAGGUUGAACACGCGGCCUAUCAGCUAGUUGGUGAGGUAAUGGCUCACCAAGGCGACGACGGGUAGCCGGCCUGAGAGGGUGACCGGCCACACUGGGACUGAGACACGGCCCAGACUCCUACGGGAGGCAGCAGUGGGGAAUAUUGCACAAUGGGCGAAAGCCUGAUGCAGCAACGCCGCGUGAGGGAUGAAGGCCUUCGGGUUGUAACCUCUUUUAGUUGGGAAGAAGCGAAGGUGACGGUACCAACAGAAAAAGCACCGGCUAACUACGUGCCAGCAGCCGCCGUAA